AUGAGGUGGCUUGAUAAUGCCCCCAAUGCCAUUCCAGGAAGAGGAAUUGGCAUUUCUGAAAAUGCCCCUUAUGAGACAUUAACCAUUACGUAUUGGUUUUUGCUUGUUAUUUUAUUUGAUUGUAUUUUUAAACUCCAAGUUACAUAAAUGAACUCAUUAAUACCGCCAACAAGUCCACUUUGAGCGUAACGAAAAUGCAAGAUAUAUCUAUUAUCUAUUAUAUAUAAUAAACGAAUAAAAUUUGGGACACGUGUCGCAAUAUUAGGGCUUCUUAGAUGUGGUUUUGGCGGGAAAUUAGAUUGGUAUUAAAAAUGAACGCGGAUCCCCGUUUUAAUGUGAUCCGACCCGUUUUAUGACCCGGCUAUAUAACUCACCUAAAAAGCCUAAAUUCAUGUCUCUCAUUCUUUUACUUGACUACUUCACACCGAAACCCUAGCCUCCCUUCCCUCUUUCUUCUAGAGCAAUCAUCGUCAUCUUCACCACUUAUUAAGGAUCAAUUAGAUGUUGAUCAAUCAGUACAGAAAUGAAUACAAAUAUAUACAAAUAUAUGUGAUUCGAAUAAAGGAAGAUGGUGACGUUGGUUGUGGCCUGAAGAGAAACGACGACGAAGAAUGGUUGAUUUAGGGUUCUUCAGUUCGGGUAAUGUGAUGGUUGAUUUAGGGAUUCUGAAACCGUAAGUUUUCUUCUCCCGUUUUACACUGAUUUCUUCAUCUGGCGAACUUCCAGAUGGUGAUGGUGGCCUGGAAAGGAACGAUGACAACGGCAUGUGUUGAUUUAGUGUUUCUCAAGUGGUGGUCUUAUGAUGGUUGUUGUUUAACGCAAAGACGGAAGGGCGGCGGCUAGGGUUCCACCACAUAACUUUGACCAGUUGUGGUUUCCGCCGGUUAUCGGUAGAUCAACCAGGAAUGAUAUUGUACGAGUUAUGCGAUUUGUUUGGAAUGUACAUGAUAGAUGAAACAAGUUAUGGACCAAAUCAUGUUGCUCUUGCUGGCCAAAAGAGUUCCAGUAACAAAGACCAAUCUUUGUACGCGUUGGUCGGGGUGACCAGAACCACUUAUGAGUUAUUUUCAAUAACUGGUUGUGGUAUUGAUAUCGGUAUUUAAAGAAAACUUUGACUGAGGAAUGUAUGCUUGCCUAAUUUGGUUGUUUGGAAGAGGGGAGAGUGAGUUUUCUGUUGGUAUAAGGCUAGCCUUGGUUCAACAGGAUUAAGACAGUUUGACUUAUAAGAAGUUAACCCAAAGUAGAAGUUGAAGAAUAUCAUGUUGGGGCAUCAUGAGGCAAAGGUAAAGUAUUAAUAUUAAAGCUCCAACAUAAUGAUGAUGCUGCUGCUCAAGUCUAUGGUCGAACUACAUAACCUGUGGAAAAGCAUAUGAAUAACUCUAUAAGUGUGUUUGUAUCUCACAACUUAAAUUAUCAUUUUCUCUAUAAUAUUUAUCUUCAUCUUACUGUAUAAAUGACAUUGUUAAUAAUAAACUUGGAAUAAAACGCUUAUGACACUGUU
rnacentral:lncRNA from 1 species